UACGUAGGUGGCAAGCGUUGUCCGGAAUUAUUGGGCGUAAAGCGCGCGCAGGCGGUCUUUUAAGUCUGAUGUGAAAGCCCACGGCUCAACCGUGGAAGGUCAUUGGAAACUGGGAGACUUGAGUACAGAAGAGGAAAGCGGAAUUCCACGUGUAGCGGUGAAAUGCGUAGAGAUGUGGAGGAACACCAGUGGCGAAGGCGCUUUCUGGACCGUAGCUGACGCUGAGACACGAAAGCGUGGGUAGCAAACAGG
rnacentral:rRNA from 1 species